rnacentral:rRNA from 1 species
CCUGGACCGUAACUGACGCUGAGGCACGAAGGUGUGGGAAUCAAACAGGAUUAGAUACCCUGGUAGUCCACACAGUAAACGAUGGAUGCUCGCGGUGCGCAGUUUACUGUACGCCGCCAAGGGAAACCGUUAAGCAUCCCACCUGGGGAGUACGCCGGCAACGGUGAAACUCAAAGGAAUUGACGGGGGCCCGCACAAGCGGAGGAACAUGUGGUUUAAUUCGAUGAUACGCGAGGAACCUUACCCGGGCUUGAAAUGUACCUGACAGGCGGCAGAGACGCCGCCCUCCUUCGGGCAGGUAUGUAGGUGCUGCAUGGUUGUCGUCAGCUCGUGCCGUGAGGUGUCGGCUUAAGUGCCAUAACGAGCGCAACCCUUCCCGCCGGUUACCAUCAUUCAGUUGGGGACUCCGGCGGCACUGCCAUCGCAAGAUGUGAGGAAGGCGGGGAUGACGUCAAAUCAGCACGGCCCUUACGUCCGGGGCCACACACGUGUUACAAUGGGGGGCACAGAAAGCAGGAGUACGGCGACGUGCUUCGAAUCAUGAAAUCCCCUCCCAGUUCGGACUGGAGUCUGCAACCCGACUCCACGAAGCUGGAUUCGC